rnacentral:siRNA from 1 species
ACAGCCGGCGGUGCAGCACGGAGC